CCCAAGCGCUCAGCGCACACAGUGACACAACACACAUUUUUCAAGAAUCCCGUUGAAGAAGAGAGUCUCUGCCAUUUAUACCCAAUUUAUUUCCCAUUCUCUCCCCUUUGCAUUUAGACCCUCAAAUUUCAUUCUCUCUCAUUUCUGUUUAGGCUGACGGGGCCUUCAGCUGGCAUAUCAAUUAAGUCAAUUGAACUGAGCUUCUUUUCCCCUCUUUAAUUUGUGACCGUAACACCAUCGCUCUUCUCUUUGCAUUCGCAGUCGAAUCGCAACGAAUCCCCAAUCUCCAGCCGUCAGAAUCACCAUCUCCUCCUUCACCACCGACGCCGUCUCUUGUAUCGCUGCCGUCCCCCCAUCCGCCUCUGAGGAAGCCCCUAGCUCAUAAAAGAAACGGAGAUUUGGGCACACCGCCGCGAAAGGGGAAGGCGAAUAAGGAGAAGAAAAUCGGGUUGAUGUUUGUGGGAGUUGCUUCGCUUUUGCAAGUUUGCAUUGUGGCUUUCUAGCUAAUCAGCAGAAGACAGCUCUUGAAAGCUCAAAAUGGCUAUCAAAGAAAUUGAACUUGAUUUCAAAAAUCCAAAUACUUGUAUCUAAGUGGAGUAUUUCAUUCAUUCUUCCUUUAUUGAUGGUGAUUGCAAUGCUGCUGAGGAUGAAGAAUUUGAAGAAUUUCUGACUCGUCAUGUAAUCUAAUGACGUCGGAUGCUCCAGUGGUGCAGCUGCCCCUUCAUUCUAUGUAAAGUAACUUGCAAAAGUGGUGAUCAAGAAUGCUGAGAUCACUCUUGUUUUCACCUGUAAAAUGCUGCUGAGUAGCUGAUCCCGGGCUAAGCCUUUCUAUCACCAGUUCGGCUUUGGACCAUGGUGGUGUAGCAUAAAGAAGUGAUUAUUGUAGUGAUUGAAACCAACAACUAAGAUGUUGAAGAAUUUUUCCAGCAAUGUGGUCCUGGUAGGAUUUCGGUUUGUACACUAAUCAAUUAUUUUUUUUUGGUUCAUUUUUAAUUGCCGGUUUUGAAUCGGUUUGGGUUGACCUUUUGAUGCAUAUUUGUGUAUUCGUUACUGUUUCCGUUCGUACGGAGUUUCAUUUUGAUGUUUUGGGUGAAGAUUAAUGUAUCUGCAAAUUGUGAUUUUGAACCAGACUUAAACGCCAAUUAAGUUAUCAUUGCCGAUUUUCAGCUUAUUUGUGCCUCACCUAACACCAUCAAACUUUGUAACUCAGUGGCGUGGAGCCUUUAAAGCAGAGGGGAAACCCGGGUUCAAAUUGUGUUUUUAGAUUAUUUUUUUUCUGUAAAAAAUAAAGAAACGAAAAAACUGCAUCACUCACAGAAACUACCAAAGCCGACACUGCUCUCGAUGAGCCAAAACUCCAGCUGGUUUGAUUCCAUCAAAAA